CAGCAGCCGCGGUAAUACGUAGGUGGCGAGCGUUGUCCGGAAUCAUUGGGCGUAAAGGGAGCGCAGGCGGGCAUAUAAGUCUUUCUUAAAAGUGCGGGGCCCAACCCCGUGAUGGGAAAGAAACUAUAUGUCUUGAGUACAGGAGAGGAAAGCGGAAUUCCCAGUGUAGCGGUGAAAUGCGUAGAUAUUGGGAGGAACACCAGUGGCGAAGGCGGCUUUCUGGACUGCAACUGACGCCAAGGCUCGAAAGCCAGGGGAGCGAACGGGAUUAGAUACCCGAGUAGUCCCUGUCUCUUAUACA
rnacentral:rRNA from 1 species